GGGCAGAUGGCCGAGUGGUCUAAGGCGCUAGUUUUAGGCACAUCUUCUGUAUGUAUGAGGAGAAUCUGAAUCACUAGUCUUCGGGCGUGGGUUCAAAUCCCACUCUGCUCA
rnacentral:tRNA from 2 species